CUUCUCGUGGUGUAGUGGUCAGCACUUUCGACCCGUAACCGAGAGGUCCGUGGUUCGAUUCCUGGUGAGGGGA
rnacentral:tRNA from 1 species